GAUGAACGAUGGCGGCGUGCCUAAUACAUGCAAGUCGAGCGAACGGACGAGAAGCUUGCUUCUCUGAUGUUAGCGGCGGACGUGUGAGUAACACGUGGAUAACCUACCUAUAAGACUGGGAUAACUUCGGGAAACCGGAGCUAAUACCGGAUAAUAUUUUGAACCGCAUUGUUCAAAAGUGAAAGACGGUCUUGCUGUCACUUAUAGAUGGAUCCGCGCUGCAUUAGCUAGUUGGUAAGGUAACGGCUUACCCAGGCAACGAUGCAUAGCCGACCUGAGAGGGGGAUCGGCCACACUGGAACUGAGACCCGGUCCAGACUCCUACGGGAGGCAGCAGUAGGGAAUCGUCCGCAAUGGGCGAAAGCCUGACGGAGCAACGCCGCGUGUGUGAUGAAGGUCUUCGGAUCGUAAAGCUCUGUUAUUAGGGAAGAACAUAUGUGUAAGUAACUGUGCACAUCUUGACGGUACCUAAUCAGAAAGCCACGGCUAACUACGU
rnacentral:rRNA from 1 species